AGCAGUAGCCACGGUAAUACAGAGGGUGCGAGCGUUAAUCGGAUUUACUGGGCGUAAAGCGUGCGUAGGCGGCUUUUUAAGUCGGAUGUGAAAUCCCUGAGCUUAACUUAGGAAUUGCAUUCGAUACUGGGAAGCUAGAGUAUGGGAGAGGAUGGUAGAAUUCCAGGUGUAGCGGUGAAAUGCGUAGAGAUCUGGAGGAAUACCGAUGGCGAAGGCAGCCAUCUGGCCUAAUACUGACGCUGAGGUACGAAAGCAUGGGGAGCAAACAGGAUUAGAGACCCGGGUAGUCCCUGUCUCUUAUAC
rnacentral:rRNA from 1 species